rnacentral:rRNA from 1 species
AACGAACGCUGGCGGCAUGCCUAACACAUGCAAGUCGAACGAGACCUUCGGGUCUAGUGGCGCACGGGUGCGUAACGCGUGGGAACCUGCCCUUAGGUUCGGAAUAACUCCCCGAAAGGGGUGCUAAUACCGGGUAAUGUCUUCGGACCAAAGAUUUAUCGCCUUUGGAUGGGCCCGCGUUGGAUUAGCUAGUUGGUAGGGUAAAAGCCUACCAAGGCGACGAUCCAUAGCUGGUCUGAGAGGAUGAUCAGACACACUGGGACUGAGACACGGCCCAGACUCCUACGGGAGGCAGCAGUGGGGAAUAUUGGACAAUGGGCGAAAGCCUGAUCCAGCAAUGCCGCGUGAGUGAUGAAGGCCUUAGGGUUGUAAAGCUCUUUUACCCGGGAUGAUAAUGACAGUACCGGGAGAAUAAGCUCCGGCUAACUCCGUG